ACAGCUCAGCGCCCAGCCAGCGCAGCCCCGCAGCUGACUGCACGGGGUCGGGCCAGCAGCCCGCCUGCCGGGAAGCGCGGCUGUGGCAGGGGCAGCAGGGCUCUGGGGGGAGCAGCAAGCGCGAGUGACCUCGGGUGUCCCCGAGGGGGAGCGGGGGGCACGCGCGGGGCACAGCAGCUGAGGGCGAGAAGGUGGCGAUACCUGUGACACGGUUCAAAGAGGUGGAGGAGGGGGAAACGGGUUAUCCUAUGGCCAGAGAGGACAGAGACACGGAGUUAGGGCGGAGGCGGCCGUGGAGGCCGAGAGUGCGGAGGCGGCCGCAGGCGCCUGCAGGGGCGCAGGGGCGGGGGGGCCCAGGGAAGGGGUGCUGGUCCUCGCAGGGCUAGAGCACCCCACUGAAAAGGAAGGGGGGGCGGGCGCCUUCGCAGCGCCGAAGGAGGGCCUGUGGGGGGGGCCAGGGGCGAACAAGGCUCGGAGGAGAGUGCGGCUUACCCUCCAGGUAGUUCCGAGCAACGAACUUGAGGAUCUCGUCGAGCCCAAUGACUGGAAAUGAGAUCUUGAGGACCAUGAGCCACUGGGUGACGUCCAGGGCCUGGAGCUUGAAGAUCAUCUGGGAGGGCCAGCGGAGGUGGUGACCACCAGUGUCCCUCUCGGGAGGCGCUGGUCGGGAGCCAGGGAUGCGGCACAGCCCCCGGCCUGCCUCCCUCCUCCCUCUGUGUGUGCCCCCGCCCACCGAGGCUCCCCCAGGGGCGCAGAACGGUGGUCCCCGGCCCGAGAAGUCUCACCGGCAGAGGGUCGACGUAGAGGAUGAGGAAGUGGAGGGACAUGGAGAGGCAGAUGGAGCCCAGCAGCCAGAUGUUUACCCAGGGCGGCAUCCGCAGGAGGGACUGAUUCUCAGACAGGCUGCGAAGGGGAGGCCGGGCGGAGCCCAGGGUGGGGGACAGCACAAGAAAGAAGUGGUGAGCAGAGAGAGGGAGGGGGAGGACACAGUGGUCCCUGGAAGGCAGCAGGGGCCGGCGGGCAGGCCCCACCUGUUCAGAGCGUUGCACAUCUCGAUGGUAACCAGCACGGACAAGGCCAUGGUCAUGGGCUCGGGGGCCUCAAAGACCUCACAGUCCACGCCCUCGAAGUCAGGGUUUUCCUCGUUGCACUGCAUGAAGUGAGUCUGCAGGGGCAGGAGGGGGGAGCUGGGAUCCCACAGAAGCCUCCACGCCUCCCUCCUGCUCCCCACCCGCCUCCCUCCUCUGUCCUCCCUACCAGCUGGCUGUAGGUGACAUGAGGCCCGUCGUCUGCAUACAGGAACCACCAGGCAGCCGCUCCCACAGUGGCUGCACCCACGUAGCCUGUGGUAGAGAGAAGAUGGGAGUCGGGGUCACGGCUGGGCAGACAGGAGGUGUCAGGAGGGCUCGCGGUCAUGGACGGCUCGUUGAGGAAGAGGACCCAUUGGGAUGGCUGUGCUAGGGGAGCAGCCCCGGGUUCCUGCUGGGCACCCGCCCGCCUGGCUGCUUACCAGACCACCUCGCCCACGUUGGAGGAGAUGAGGUAGCGGAUGAACUGCUUCAUGUUGUUGUAGAUGGCGCGGCCCUCCUCCACCGCGGCCACGAUGGUGGAGAAGUUGUCGUCGGCCAGCACCAUCUCAGAAGCCGUCUUGGCCACGGCGGUGCCGGAUCCCAUGGCAAUGCCGAUCUCGGCCUUCUUCAGGGCGGGGGCGUCAUUGACCCCAUCGCCAGUCUGAGGGCAGAGCGAGAAGGACUGCAGAUACUCCACGAUCUUCGACUUAUGGGCCGGCUCCACGCGGGCAAAGCAGCGGGCGCGACGGCAGGCCUCCCGCUGCUCGGCCAGGGGCAGGUCGUCGAACUCCCGGCCCGUGUAGGCUAGGUCGGCCACCUCCUCAUUCUCCCCGAAGAUGCCGAUCCGCCGGCAGAUGGCAAUGGCUGUGCCCUUGUUGUCCCCUGUGAUCAUGAUGACUCGGAUUCCGGCGUCCCGGCACAGCUCAAUAGAGCCUGUGACCUCCUUGCGGGGGGGAUCCAGCAUGCCUACCACGCCAACGAAUGUCAGGCCUGGUGCUGUCUGGCCCAGCGUGGGGGACCGUCUGCAGAUAUUUCAAGGAAAGAACUAGAACUGGGCUGUUGUUGCUGCCUUUGGUGGGGCCACUCACUGGGUCUGCAGCCCUGAGCAAAUCCAGGCUACCUGCUGGGCCACCAGGUCCCGUCUAGAAAAUGAAGGAGUGGACUCUGGCGCUCUGCAGAGAGCCGGCCUGGAAGCAGCCCGGGAUUUGGCUGGGGAGCAGUAGACCGACAUGGACUUUCUGUCCCGGGAGAACUCCAGGGUGAAUUCCUUCUUCAUUAGCUGGCGGAUCACCUGGGAAAGAGGAGAGGAAGAGGCCAGACGUGAGAUUGGUGGGAUGAGAAUGACAACGCUGUACUAGAAGGGCAGAGUCCCAGACUCCUUAAAAAAUAGUCAAAAAGGAUCUGGAGGUCAGAGCAGACCCCAAGCUGAGUCUCAGACUGGAGCUCAGUGUGGUACCUAUAGCGUACAUAGAGAGAACUUCAAGACUGGUGUUGCCACUUUCUUACAGUGUCUAGUUUAAAGCACAACUGAAACAGGAUGGCACAAUAUGGUACCGUCUAGAACUUUCGGUGAUGAUGAGAAUGUUCUGUAAUCGGAACCAUCCAAUAUGGUGUCAUUGAGCACGGUUAUUCAGCAUGGAAAAUGUGGCUGGUGCAGCCAAAGAAAUGAGUUUUUACUUUUAUCUCAUUUUAAUUAAUUUAAAUUGAAAUAACUACACGUGGGCCCUACAGACAUAUUAUCGGACGACGCAGACCUAGUUCCUGGCAUGCAGUAAUAAACACGCCACAAAAAUGAAUGCGAGCCCUUUUUCACCAACCAGGUGAUAGAGAUUUCAAGAGAAAACAAGAAUAAAAGUACCAAUAAAUAAAAGAUUAAGGUGAUGUUUAUAUUAGCAUU